rfam:Apaloderma vittatum contig63721, whole genome shotgun sequence.
GGCCAGUUAGCUUGGUCAGUUGAGCGUAGCGCUAACAACGCUAAGGUCACGGGUUCGAUUCCCGUUCGGUCCC